rnacentral:tRNA from 13 species
ACCCUGGUGGUGGAAUUGGUAGACACGCAGGACUUAAAAUCCUGUGCCCAUUUGGGCGUACGGGUUCAAGUCCCGUCUGGGGUACAA